GCCGAUGUGGCGGAAUGGCAGACGCAGCAGACUCAAAAUCUGCCGGUAGCGAUACCGUGCUGGUUCGACCCCAGUCAUCGGCACCA
rnacentral:tRNA from 1 species